CCUACGGGUGGCAGCAGUGAGGAAUAUUGGUCAAUGGGCGGAAGCCUGAACCAGCCAAGUAGCGUGCGGGAUGAAGGCCCUACGGGUCGUAAACCGCUUUUGCACGGGGAUAACACCCUCCACUUGUGGAGGUCUGCAGGUACCGUGCGAAUAAGGGCCGGCUAAUUCCGUGCCAGCAGCCGCGGUAAUACGGAAGGCCCGAGCGUUUUCCGGUUUUACUGGGUGUAAAGGGAGCGUAGGCGGUUAUGUAAGUCUGGAGGUAAAGCCCGGGGCCCAACCCCGGGACUGCUUUGGAAACGGGGUAACUGGAGUACGGGAGGGGCAGGCGGAAUUUGUGGUGUAGCGGUGAAAUGCGUAGAUAUCAGGAAGAACACCGGCGGCGAAGGCAGCCUGCUGGACUGAAACUGACGUUGAGGCACGAAAGCGUGGGGAGCAAACAGGAUUAGAUACCCGAGUAGUC
rnacentral:rRNA from 1 species